rnacentral:rRNA from 1 species
UACGAAGGGUGCAAGCGUUACUCGGAAUUACUGGGCGUAAAGCGUGCGUAGGUGGUUCGUUAAGUCUGUCGUGAAAGCCCCGGGCUCAACCUGGGAAUGGCGAUGGAUACUGGCGGGCUAGAGUGCGGUAGAGGGGAGUGGAAUUCCCGGUGUAGCAGUGAAAUGCGUAGAGAUCGGGAGGAACAUCAGUUGCGAAGGCGGCUCUCUGGACCAGCACUGACACUGAGGCACGAAAGCGUGGGGAGCAAACAGG